rnacentral:lncRNA from 1 species
UGCCUUCCGAACUACUCCAAGAUACACGAUGCGUCAAAGAUAGAGUAACUUAUAGUUUUUAGUAUGAACAUCAACUCUUCCGAAGCAAAUUACCCCAAGGGCUUCUCAAAUGCUGAUCGUAUUGCUUAUUCGACAAUGUGAGCUGUUAACGCAUUUUGAAACGGUUAGAUUUUUCAUAAGGUUGUUUUAUAGUUAGGAGUUGUAAACGAGCCGUGUCUCUUGUGCUACUUGGAAUGGCUCGCUAAAGUUUGAAUGGCUCGCUAAGGUAGAAAUUGAGCCCUAUCUAAAAAAAUUAAAUAUGUAAUGCUAUGACACUAGAAGCAAUCAGUUUGAUCUUUUAUUAGUUUCACUUAACCUUAGUAAUUUUUAUUAGAUUAUAUUUUAGUUCUUUGUAUUUUGUAGUUGAUUUCCAUUUUAUAUCAAUUUUCUGUCCUAUUGAAGUUGAAUUAUCGAUUUGAAAUUUGAAU